CAGAAAUUGAAUGCAUACCUGCAAAUUUCAUAAUUCAUAAAAAUAUUAUGAAUCCUUAAGCAAGUAUAUAUUUUUAUCAUUACAAAUUUGCCCCUCUGUCUUUAAUUUUAUCUGUUUUAUUAGUGAUUGUUGUAUUUACUUUCAUAAAUUCUAAAUAUAAUAUUUAAUUAGUUGUAUAGUUUCUUAAUAAUAUAAUUAACUUUAUUGUUUCAAGAUAAAGUUGUAUCCUUGAAAGAUAUGCUGGUAUUAUUGGCACAAUGGGCAAGCUAAUUAUUGUAUUGCCUAAAAGAGUGUCAUUGCCGAAAAAAAUACAAAAAAAAUACUUAAGUAAAUGGUCAAUUAUUCCGCACAAAUUGCUUGGAGUUAAAGACGAAGGAGAUUGAAUAUGUUAUUUACUAAGAAUAGUUUUUUAAAAUGGCCUAGCUGUAAAAUUAAACUAUGCAGGGAGAGGACAAAAAACUGGAAUAGGAAAAAUGUUGAUUGCAUAUGUUGCUAUUGAAAGUCAAAUAAGCAUGGUUUACGCAGAUAUGUGAUAGAGAUAGCGGAACAAAAAAUAAUAAUCUUGGGCACCAAAUAUCAUUAGCUAAACACGAUUUAAUAACAAGUAGCUCAGCCAAUAUCAAAACUACUUUAUAAAUUUUAUAGUGAUUUUUUUUAUUUAAAACUCAAUGUGUCAGUUUUUGGUUUAAGUUUGGUGUUUGCAAUAUGUAUAUUUAA